AGCGGGAGAAGGUGUGCAGCAGCUAUAGAGCUUCAUCCCAGCACAGGCAAAGUUUCUGGGGAAGUGGUGAGUGUGCAAACUCGGAGUUGGGGGAAGCUAACUCUACUGAUGAAGAAGUAGCUCAGAACGGUGGAGGCAGGAGGAUGAGCACAGGAUGCUCCACAGGGGCCCUGAUGGCAGGCACCCACUCGUUCACUUUGUGCUUGUUGGCUGCCUGGAACUCUGCCCUCAGAGACGUGAAAUACUCACAGAUGCUCACAGCACUGGUGUGUUCCCCAGACAUCCUGCACAGAAAAAACACAGGGAGAGCCUCCAUCACACUUAGGGCCCUGAGCUGGGCUUCCCACUCACUGGGCAUGCUCCCCAUGCACUGGACAUGGGCCAGGAUCACCAGCCAGUCUAGUCCCACCUCCACCAACCCCACCAGCCAGCAGCCAGUCAGAAAGUGUUAAUAGCCUCUGUCUCAAGGAUAGAGCCUUUGAGUCGCUCCUGCCCUCCCCAGUCUACCUCCCUCACUUCAGAGAUAGGAGGCCUGUAGUCUUGGGGCUCCCACACUAACACCACUGCCAGGGCCCCCCUCCACCUGUGGAGUUUCUCUUGAGCCCAUUGCUUCACUACUGGGUGGCUGAGGCCUGAGUAAGCAGAGACAUGGAAUAUAGACCAACUAAAAUAGCAAUAUAUGAAGCUCCUGCAUGACUUUAGGCCAGUCCUUGUCCUGUGUCCCUCCAACUGGACUGGACUUUGUGUGACCCACAUUAUUAUCAAUUGAGUAUUUUCAGCUGACUGCCUUUUAUAGGAAAAAAAAUGCAUUUCUCUUUAAAAAAAAAAAAAGUCAUUAUGUUGCAAUGAACAAAACCAGAAUUACAUAACCAAAUAAGAAAAGAAGAAAAGACAUGUCUCCUGUGAAAAUAAAGCAAGUCAACUGGAGGAGGGGCGUGAGACGGCGCUGUCUGCUGAGAGACUGAACUCGGCACCCACUGGCCCUCCAUGAACACGAGCUCUUUGUAAGGGCCACCAAGGCCUUGAAGCUGGCAACACUAAGCUGAAACUCUCUGAAAAGCUGAGGGAAAAUGGAAAGGACGUGGCUGUCAUACUGUGUGGCUGGAAGUGGCCCUGAGGCUUGUUUGUGGUUAAACUGAAAAGCAUCUCUAGCCCCUCCAGUGUCCACAUCCCACAGUCUAGGGAGCCGGACCCGGGGAGGACUGCCAAGUUUCUCACGGCGUCCCAGCUGUCACCUGCACUCCUCGCCCUCCAGCAGCUUGCGGUAGGUGGCGAUCUCGAUGUCCAGGGACAGCUUCAUACUCAUCAGCUCCUGGUACUCCCGCAUCAUCCGGGCCAGCUCCUCCUUGGCCUGCUGCAGGGCGCCCUCCAGCUCAUCCAGUUUGGCCCGGGCGUCUUUGAGGGCACAGUCACCUCGCUGCUCGGCAUCAGCGAUGGCCGUCUCCAGGUUGGAGCACUGAGGGGCAGGAGGUAGCGUCCCCCCUGAGUUCUGAGUCUCUGGAUGAGCCUCGUCAACUCAGAGAUCUCGUUCCUGGUGUGUUUGAGGUCAUCUCCAUGUCGGCCAGCUGCCAGCUGCAGCUCUUGGAACUGGUUCCCAUUUUUCCCAAGCUCCCUCACAAGAGAGGCAGAAUACAUGAGGGUGAAGCCAACGGUGUCCUGACGCAGAUGCUGAGCACUGGAGCCAAGCCCACCCCGACUCCUCACGGCCAUGCGAGCUCUGAAACCCUCCCUGGCUAACUGACCCUGCUCAACCACUCGUCCCAGGGAUGGGAAACAGUACUCAGAUCCAACUAGAGUUAGUGUUUAAAAAUCGCCAGAAGUAACGAAUUCCUCAUGCAGUUUGUUAGACCGAUGUGGUGGAGCGGAGAAAAUGCAGAUGGACAACUAAGGAGCCCAGCACUGAGAUCUAUCCACAGACAGCUGAGGCCCAGGCCUCUGCUUGGGGAUUUGUAAAGAGUGGAUGGUGCUGGGCCCUACCUCAAACUAGACUCUGCCAACUGUGUGGCUCCUGGACGUGUUUGCUUCCAUUAAGUCCUUCAUCCCUAGAGAGGGGACACACGUGAGCUGGCCUGAAGCCACCACGAGGGAGGAGACACAUGGCAGACCUGCAGAAGCAACGGCACCCGAAGGUGAGUUUGGACGGCUCAUAGAAUAAUUGGUUGUUGCCGUAGCAUAAUGACCCAGUAAUCGUCCAUAGAGGGAAGAAAAUAACCAAGCAUCUACAUCACCCUCUCCAAAGCUCAGAGAACAUUGUGGAAGAGGAGGAUGAACAGAAAAAGGAGUGGAGUAUCGUGUACCUAUCUCCUCAUUAAAAUUCAGGAAGCAACCAAGCAUGGAAUCUCAGCACUUGGGAGGCAGAAGCAAAUGGAUCUCUGUGAGUUCCAGGUC